rnacentral:rRNA from 1 species
UACGUAGGGUGCAAGCGUUAAUCGGAAUUAUUGGGCGUAAAGCGCACGCAGGCGGCUGAGUCAGUCGAUUGUGAAAGCCCUGGGCUUAACCUGGGAAUUGCAGUCGAUACUACUCAGCUAGAGUAUGGGAGAGGGUAGUGGAAUUCCCGGUGUAGCGGUGAAAUGCGUAGAUAUCGGGAGGAACAUCAGUGGCGAAGGCGGCUACCUGGCCCAAUACUGACACUCAGGUGCGACAGCGUGGGGAGCAAACAGG